ensembl:lncRNA
AUUUUAAGGAGGAGAGGAGGAGAACCCAACUGCCAAGGGAUUCGGGCACUCGGGUCCACUGCCCUGUUCUAGUGCAUUCUCUGGCAACACUGGAUCUCUGGCCGGGGUCCAGUGGACCUGCAGUGAACAGCGCCAGGUCUAUGACCCGCUGACAAAGCACCAGAAAACUAGAAGCAACCAAACAAACCACACAAACAAGAAAACUGAAGCCGAAGGCUGAAGGCUUCUGGUUGUCUGUUGCUUGGUUGGCAGGUGAUGGGGAUGGCCUGCUGUAAAACCAACCUGUGUUUUAUUUAUUUUUUAAAUUUUUUUAAUGAAGGCUGUGCGCAACUCUUUCCAGAAAAAAAAGAAACUGAACCUGAAACCUGAAACUGAAAUUGAUGUCUGUGUUUUAUUUUAUUCAAGUUAUGAAACUCUUUUUAAAGAAUAACAAGUUAAAGGAGAUUUGCAUCAUUUUCUCAGACACAUGUCGUUCCAAGCCUGUAUGACUUUCUUUUAUGGAACAUAAAAGAAUAUAUUCUGAAAGUCAGUGGGAUCUAACCACAUUUGGUCCCCAUUGAUCUUCCACCUUCCCAAACAUUUUCCAAAAUCCUAUUUUGUGUUUCAUGAACUGAUGGAUGAACUGUUUCUUUAAAAAUAAUUGAUCUAAUCUGAGUUUUUAAACUUUUAAAGUUGAUGACGUGUUAUCAUUCAUAUUCAUGAACAUCAUCCGUCUAACCUUGCCCAUAAUUCAGCAUAAUGAGGUUUGAGAAACAGAAACCAAGAGCAGAAUCGAAAGUUAACAACCUGAUACAACAGAAAUCCUGCUGAUCUCAACUUAAAUAGUGUAGAAGUUGUCUUAAUUGUUAAUUCAAGCUAAUUAAUGUUAACAAAUAUGGUAGUGUUACUGAAGGUAAAAGUGAUUUUUCAGUCUUCUGUGUUGUAAUUUUUUGGGUAUGGUGUUAAAAAAAGCAUGUGUUCUGAACCUAUAAAUGUAUGCAAAGCAACUGGUAAGAAACAUAUGUGUUGUCUCAAUAAAGUUAAGAGUGUCUAAGAUUAAUUUUAGUGGACGUUUAAAAAGCGCAAUCAAAAAUGCUGUCAUUCACUUUGGAACAACAGCAAAGCCUUCCUGUAGUGGGACGGGCCGACAGAAGAUCAGAAACUUACUGAGAAAACGAAACACAUGAAAACAAGGCCAACCGCUGUUCCCAGAUCAGUUGAGGGCGGUAACCUAGUAUAAAUUACAGAGAGACACACUGAUCUGUCCUUUCCGUGACCAGAUCCUUCUGCUGCCAGAUCAACAAGGUCUACGGUGUUUCCUCUGUGGGAGAUGCUGUGGAAACCUGACUGGUCUUGGAGCACUAAUGUCAUCAUGAAGGAGGCGGAGGUCAUGUAAAUCCUUGCUGCCAGGGGCGGGGUCAUCUGGCACAGCGUCAUUCAGAGGGGAAACUCAUUUGCAUGAGUCUCUAUCUUUGUUUUGUGCUGGUGCCCAGAUGUGCAGAGGCCUGCGCAGUCUGCGAAGCCUAACACCGCUGUGACGCCUGACGAUCCGCGCAUGAAGCCUCAAAUUUCCGACAAAUGCUACAAAGCCAAGAACCGACCAGAAAAAAACCAAUGAAUGUAAUGCCAAAACUGAACCAAGAAAUCUCUUUAACACGUUGCUGACCAAUGAAUACUGCUACAAAUGUAAAGUAAAGUGAAGAAGCGAAUUUUUGGUGAAACCUUUGGUUUCUGCAUUGCUUGGUUCGGUUGGUCCGGGGCCCAGCUGAUAAAACAAAAAGCCCCGGAAAAAAUGUUUAAAAAAAUCUAAAUAAAAAUAGUAAAAUCUGCAACAAAAAUUCUUAUUGUACUGUGUUUAUUUUUGUUUAUCUUCCAGUGUUUGAUGAUGAAUUUAUUAACUAUAUCACUUCUUACACUAGGCCACUACAAGACUGUUUAGACACUGUAGGAAAAAAAAAAUAGAAAAAGAAAAUCAGUGGAGAAACAAAGUAUAUAUAAGAAAGUAUGUUUACACUUUACAACAAGGUCCCAUUAAUUAACAAUGAGAAAUACAUUUGUUACAGUAUUUAUUAAUAUUUGUUAACAAACAACUAUACAACUCAAAGUACAACUCUUUAUUUUAAUAUUGUAGUAAAUUUUGGACUAGGAUUAAUGUUAAUUUAUGUAGUUUAUGAAUGUGAACAAAUGGAAUUUUGUACAAAACAAUCAAAAGCAUUGCAUAGAUUUAACAUAAGUAUAACCAAGAGGCCAAACAUGAUCUUUUGUAUUUAAAAUGUUACAUAAUAAAUUAUAUAACUGAGAACAUCUGAGAUCCCACCCAAGCAAAGUUUCCCUUUCACUUUCGUUUCUGUGAAACGCUCUCAUCUAAUGUGUCUGCACCAGACUGGCUGCUGCAUAGUUGUGUUCUUUGAGGAGGUGUGAACAGUUUCUGUAGGAAGAGUAUAAGUAACAGAUGAAGGUCCAGUUCAGAUGAACUGCACUACGCUGCUCUGAACCCUAAACAAAUCAUCAGCAUGAUCUUAUCCGAGGGGAGUGAUGAAGGGGAUGAUGACGAUGAUGAAGAAGAUGAUGGAGGUGCUGGAGUAAGUGUCUGCUGCCAAGGGUAGACAACUGCUCCAGACCUUGAUGCAGCCAGUGCUGAGAAAGACCCAAUAGCACGCUGGAUCAAACAAACUGUGUGCAAUUGCUGAUACAAGCCAGCAGCAGCCAAAGCAAUCACACAGCUUCAGUUGUGACAAAUGUCGCAACCCAAGUACCUCCCACGCCAUGUGUGUCCAUGGCAAACUUGACACGUAGACUAUGUUUCCUCCAUGGGAAUGAUGGAACUCGCAACUUUCCCGCUGUGCAGUGGCAGCACCAUCACUUUUUUUCAGAACGGCUCUGCUUUCAUGUCUGUUUGUGCAACCCUGAAGAAACCAUGGAGAGAAGAACGAAACGUUCAUGGAGAGGUGAUCCCUGAUGAUUACAGAGCUGCUGGUCCAGAGGUUGGAAGAUGUGAGACAGUUUUUUCUGAGCUCACAAUCGUCCUCAUUCACCAUUGUGCCACCGAGCAACGCACAUGACUCCAACGCAGGACUGACUGUUUCUGCAAAAUGUCUACAGUAGUCAACAAUCCAUUAAGAUACAAACAGAGAAUGGGCUGGAUGGGCAUUUUGAAGAUGUUCUAAUGGAUGCAUGUUGCUCACUUAUUUACUGGGAGGUCAUGCCCCUUUGAAGCCCAAGUGUAUUUGUUGUAAAGAUAUAUUCAGACUAUGGCUGCUUGGUCCAAAUUGCUCUCCAGUAAAACUAGCAGAAGGUUUCUGAAGCAGUGGACCAAGGUCAGAGAUAAAAGCCCACUGUUUUUUUUUUUUUUUUUUUUUUUUUUUUUUUAUGUUCUUUUACCUCUUUGUCAAUGCCACUCAGCCAUAGAGAGCGUGAUCAGAGCGAGAUGACAUGUUCACCAGAAUAAGGUUCACAGGCACACUGGUUCUGCAGGUUGUGCUGACUGGGUUGAAUCCACUGGUUCAGAUAUCUUACUAACACUACACAAUAUGACACACUGUUAAAUUUCACGCACAAGUGUUAUCGCAGUGCUGUUGAAAAAAGUUACACAACAUAGGUAACGUACCUGUAAUGAGACAUGAUCUCAUACAGAACAAGGUCCUAAUCAAAGGACCUAUAAAGGUCUAGCCAAAAAUGAAGCCCAAUAGAUGCGACACAACAUCAAAGGCCCUCAUAUCCUAUUGAGCACUCGUCUUGGUUGUGUGGCAAGGGGGUCCUUAGCAAGUGGUCUGUUUAGUUUUACAAUGGUGUUCUUAGAAAUGUCAUGAAUGUAGAUGAUUUCUGUGCAUUCGUCUGCCUAAAUGUAUCGCUUUCUAAUGAGCUACACGAUAAAACCCCCCUAAAUAAAGUACUACAUGUUGUGAA